rnacentral:rRNA from 1 species
UACAGAGGUCCCAAGCGUUGUUCGGAUUCACUGGGCGUAAAGGGCGCGUAGGCGGCGGUGUAAGUCUGAUGUGAAAGCUCCGAGCUUAACUCGGAAAUGGCAUUGAAUACUAUCCUGCUUGAGGUUUGGAGGGGGGACUGGAAUUCUCGGUGUAGCAGUGAAAUGCGUAGAUAUCGAGAGGAACACCAGUGGCGAAGGCGAGUCCCUGGACAACACCUGACACUGAGGCACGAAAGCUAGGGGAGCAAACAGG